rnacentral:rRNA from 1 species
AGGGCGCACGGUGGAUGCCUUGGCACUAGGAGCCGAUGAAGGACGGGACUAACACCGAUAUGCUUUGGGGAGCUGUAAGUAAGCUAUGAUCCAGAGAUUUCCGAAUGGGGGAACCCAAUAUCUUUUAUAGGAUAUUACUUUUCAGUGAAUACAUAGCUGAUUAGAGGUAGACGCAGAGAACUGAAACAUCUUAGUACCUGCAGGAAGAGAAAGAAAAUUCGAUUCCCUGAGUAGCGGCGAGCGAAACGGGAAGAGCCCAAACCAACAAGCUUGCUUGUUGGGGUUGUAGGACUCCAAUAUGGUAGUCUGUUAGUAUAGUUGAAGGAUUUGGAAAAUUCCGCUAAAGAGGGUGAAAGCCCCGUAGACGAAAUGCUGACAACACCUAGGAGGAUCCUGAGUACGGCGGAACACGAGAAAUUCCGUCGGAAUCCGCGGGGACCAUCCCGCAAGGCUAAAUACUCCCUAGUGACCGAUAGUGAACCAGUACCGUGAGGGAAAGGUGAAAAGCACCCCGGAAGGGGAGUGAAAUAGAUCCUGAAACCGUGUGCCUACAACAAGUCAAAGCUCGUUAAUGAGUGAUGGCGUGCCUUUUGUAGAAUGAACCGGCGAGUUACGAUUGCAUGCGAGGUUAAGUCGAAGAGACGGAGCCGCAGCGAAAGCGAGUCUGAAUAGGGCGAAUGAGUAUGUAGUCGUAGACCCGAAACCAUGUGAUCUACCCAUGUCCAGGUUGAAGGUGCGGUAAAACGCACUGGAGGACCGAACCCACGUACGUUGAAAAGUGCGGGGAUGAGGUGUGGGUAGCGGAGAAAUUCCAAACGAACUUGGAGAUAGCUGGUUCUCUCCGAAAUAGCUUUAGGGCUAGCCUCGGAAUUGAGAAUGAUGGAGGUAGAGCACUGUUUGGACUAGGGGCCCAUCUCGGGUUACCGAAUUCAGAUAAACUCCGAAUGCCAUUCAUUUAUAUCCGGGAGUCAGACUGCGAGUGAUAAGAUCCGUAGUCGAAAGGGAAACAGCCCAGACCACCAGCUAAGGUCCCAAAAUAUAUGUUAAGUGGAAAAGGAUGUGGGGUUGCACAGACAACUAGGAUGUUGGCUUAGAAGCAGCCACCAUUUAAAGAGUGCGUAAUAGCUCACUAGUCGAGUGACCCUGCGCCGAAAAUGUACCGGGGCUAAACAUAUUACCGAAGCUGUGGACUACACCAUUAGGUGUAGUGGUAGGAGAGCGUUCUAAGGGCGUUGAAGGUCGAUCGUGAGGACGGCUGGAGCGCUUAGAAGUGAGAAUGCCGGUAUGAGUAGCGAAAGACAGGUGAGAAUCCUGUCCACCGUAUGACUAAGGUUUCCUGGGGAAGGCUCGUCCGCCCAGGGUUAGUCGGGACCUAAGCCGAGGCCGAUAGGCGUAGGCGAUGGACAACAGGUUGAUAUUCCUGUACCAGUUGUUUUUGUUUGAGCAAUGGAGGGACGCAGUAGGCUAAGGAAUGCAUGCGAUUGGAAGUGCAUGUCCAAGCAAUGAGUCUUGAGUAGAGUUAAAUGCUUUACUCUCUAAGGACAAGUUGUGACGGGGAGCGAAAUAAUAGUAGCGAAGUUCCUGAUGUCACACUGCCAAGAAAAGCUUCUAGUGAGAAAACAACUGCCCGUACCGUAAACCGACACAGGUAGUCGAGGAGAGUAUCCUAAGGUGAGCGAGCGAACUCUCGUUAAGGAACUCGGCAAAAUGACCCCGUAACUUCGGGAGAAGGGGUGCUGACUUCGGUCAGCCGCAGUGAAUAGGCCCAAGCGACUGUUUAUCAAAAACACAGGUCUCUGCAAAAUCGUAAGAUGAAGUAUAGGGGCUGACGCCUGCCCGGUGCUGGAAGGUUAAGAGGAUGGGUUAGCUUCGGCGAAGCUCAGAAUUGAAGCCCCAGUAAACGGCGGCCGUAACUAUAACGGUCCUAAGGUAGCGAAAUUCCUUGUCGGGUAAGUUCCGACCCGCACGAAAGGCGUAACGAUUUGGGCACUGUCUCAACGAGAGACU